rnacentral:tRNA from 1 species
UGGGGAGUCGCCAAGUGGUAAGGAAGGCAUCGGAUUUUGAUUCCGACAUUCGCAGGUUCGAUCCCUGCCUCCCCAG